CAGCCGCCACGGGAAUACGAAGGGGGCUAGCGUUGUUCGGAAUUACUGGGCGUAAAGCGCACGUAGGCGGAUAUUUAAGUCAGGGGUGAAAUCCCAGAGCUCAACUCUGGAACUGCCUUUGAUACUGGGUAUCUUGAGUAUGGAAGAGGUGAGUCGAAUUCCGAGUGUAGAGGUGAAAUUCGUAGAUAUUCGGAGGAACACCAGUGGCGAAGGCGGCUCACUGGUCCAUUACUGACGCUGAGGUGCGAAAGCGUGGGGAGCAAACAGGAUUAGAGACCCCAGUAGUCCCUGUCUCUUAUAC
rnacentral:rRNA from 1 species